AACUAGCGGAGACUAGUCCAGACAGAAAGUUAGGGUUGUUACGGGUGUUACGAUGUUUUUCGUGACCCAUCGGAUUCUUUGCACAUCAACAUUUGUUGUGACUCCAUCUUAAAUCUUAAUGGACAUUUUGACUUGUCAUAGCAGGAAAAGCACAGCUGAAAUUGAUAACCUUAACGAUGGCUCAAUUCCAUCAAGUGUCCUGGUAAGCUAUUGCUAGCUAUCGCUAUGUCAGUGAGUCAGCAUGCACAAUACCAGGGCCUCUCCUAAGUGGAACGCAGCCAUCAUUAGCUAAUGGUUUUGAAUACACCUGUGCUUUUCCUACUAUGACAUGUCAACAUGUCUGCCAUGAAAAGGGUCUAGCUAUACUAUGGUGGCACGAUGUAAUGUAACAGCUAAAUAAGGCAUAAAUAAAGUAUAUUAAAUUAAUAACACACGUUUGCACUGGCAAUAUAGGCCAAGCUGAAAUGUCUUUCCUAAUCAGUCGCAUAACACGGCGAAACACCGGUCCAAGACAAAAACAUAGUCGGUUACAUAGCUAGCUAACUCCAUGUUUUAUGCAGAAGCAAGGCGAAUCAUUGUUUUGACACUCUGGUAAACAGACGAGCUAGCUAUCGCUAGCGUGUUAGUUAGCCGGGUUUAGCUGUUUCACACGCUCUCCGGUCUUUGUGCUAAGGCAGAGGACAUGCUGGUGUCCACAUGGAUCAGCAGGACAAACACUCCUCCCAAUGUCAAGGUUGUAGUUGUUGUUGCCGACCACCAUGGCCAUCAGCUCAGAGGGCUGGAACAGCGACAGGAUAUCCCCCCCGCACACCUUCAGGAAGCCAGAGGAGAAGGCCGAGUACUGCUCACUCACCGAGUCUGAGAACACGUAGCGCAGCUCAGAGGACAGGUUACCUGGCCUCGGUGGGGGAGAGCUCCUUGAAGUCCUCCAGCUUUGAUGGCACAUUGAGCAGCUUCUUGUAGAGAACGAGUGGGAAGUGGAGGUCCACCACUGUGGAGUUGUAGAUGGCCAGACCGCAGAUGAUCCCGAUCAGGUAUCAAUAUGCUGAUCGACCGAGUUUUCGUCGGAUGUUCAAACAGCAUCUGAAACACCCUCCCCACCACACCUUUCCGACAUCGAAAUUAGAGAGUCUGGGGACAAUUCAACAAUUACGCCCACUUCACGCAGCGAUUGGCCAGCUCCGGACAAGGAGAGAGCAAAGCUGUGGUCUCCCCCGGUGGUUAUCUGUGCAAAGGGAAUACCAGCCAGAGACUUCAGGGGAUAAGGGAGCAACCUGCCGGGCUCUCCUUUCCCCAGCCCGAGCUGACCGCUGGUGUUCUGGCCCCACGUGAACAGCUGGCCAUCUGAGAAGCAAAAAUAAGUAACUGUAUACAACAUUUGUUUAGUUAUGUGGGACAAUCUAAAACUAAUGUGUUUAUUUAUAAAUUACAGCUUGUACAGUGUUUUUUUUUGGGGGGGCGGGGGCAUGUUUUCUUGACUGACGGGUGUGUCAGCCUAUCGCUCUCAGCCUUUGUGAUUUGACAAUUCCUAGUCCCACUUUAGCUCCAACCAAUGGUCAAAAUAUCCCACAGAAAGAAAUCAAAAGCAUACGUGUAGGGAACCAAAAUACAAUGCAAUUGGUCAGUCAAGAUGAAAUUGAGAUGCUUUCUGAUGCAAAGUUUAAACUGGAUAUGGAUAGAGUUUGGACAAACAGUAGAUGGAUACAACAGUACAGACGUAAACGGUGCUGGUGUACUAUGAGGAGAUUGUGUCUUUCACACCUCUAGAAAGUGCAACGCAGUGCUGAUUCCCACACAUUACUUGAGAGAUCCGGUGGUCACACAGCCUUUUAACCAACCUAGGAAAAAAGAAAUGUGUUAAUCAAACCAUGCCCAAGGCUACUCAAUGUUCAAAAUUACAAAUUACAGAAAAAAACACCCUCUUUUUUUUUCAGUUGUCAGAAGAAGUCAUUAAAUGCUACCAUAGUGAUAUGGUUAAAGUUCGGAGAUUGUCCACGGGUAAGGGACCUAACUUUGUCGGCUUACAUUUUUUUUUGUGAACAUUUCUAAUUCAUAAUAUACAAGCUAACUGUAAGGCCAGCCGUAAGAAACUACUUUAGAGUCCUAAAUGUUUCACUAUCCCAAAGCAGGCAAUUCACUGCAUCUUAACAGUUAAAUAGUGGCCGGGUUGGUUCAGUG